rnacentral:rRNA from 1 species
UACAGAGGGUGCGAGCGUUAAUCGGAGUUACUGGGCGUAAAGGGCGCGUAGGCGGUUAUAUAAGUGAGAUGUGAAAUCCCUGGGCUUAACCUAGGAACUGCAUCUCAUACUGUAUGACUGGAGUAUUGUAGAGGGUAGUGGAAUUUCCGGUGUAGCGGUGAAAUGCGUAGAGAUCGGAAGGAACACCAGUGGCGAAGGCGGCUACCUGGACAAAUACUGACGCUGAGGCGCGAGAGCGUGGGGAGCAAACAGG